rnacentral:rRNA from 1 species
UUUAAAUUGCUGUGGUAUUUUGACUAUACAAAGGUAUUGAAAUAAGAUUUUAAUUGAAUGCUAAGAGAAUGGAAUUUCAGAAAAUAACUUUUUUAAUAUUAAAAAUUAAAAUUUUUUUAAUUUGUGCAGAAACAAUUAUAACAAUUAAGGACAAGAAGACCCUAAGAAUUUAUAAAUUUAAAUUAAUAUUUUUUUAUGCUAAUUAAAUUUUAACUGGGGCGGUUAAGAAAUAUUAAAAACUUUUUGAAAUAAUAUGACCCAUUAAUAAUGACUAUAUGAAAAAAUACUCUAGGGAUAACAGCGUUAUAUUUUUUGAUAGAUCAUAUUGACAAAAAAGUUUGCGACCUCGAUGUUGGAUUAGGAUACUAUUUUAGKGAAGAUACUAAAAUUAGAAGUUUGUUCAACUUUUAAAUUCCUACAUGAUCUGAGUUCAGACCGGA